rnacentral:rRNA from 1 species
CCUACGGGUGGCUGUAGUGGGGGAUAUUGCACAAUGGGGGGAACCCUGAUGCAGCGACGCCGCGUGUGGGAAGACGGUCCUCUGGAUUGUAAACCACUGUCCCCAGGGACGAAAAUGACGGUACCUGGGGAGGAAGCUCCGGCUAACUACGUGCCAGCAGCCGCGGUAAUACGUAGGGAGCGAGCGUUGUCCGGAAUUACUGGGUGUAAGGGGAGCGUAGGCGGGGAUGCAAGUUGGGUGUCAAAACUACCGGCUCAACUGGUAGUCGCACUCAAAACUGCAGCUCUUGAGUGAAGUAGAGGCGGGCAGAAUUCCUAGUGUAGCGGUGAAAUGCGUAGAUAUUAGGAGGAACACCAGUGGCGAAGGCGGCCUGCUGGGCUUUGACUGACGCUGAGGCUCGAAAGUGUGGGGAGCAAACAGGAUUAGAUACCCCAGUAGUC